CCUACGGGAGGCAGCAGUGGGGAAUAUUGGACAAUGGGCGCAAGCCUGAUGCAGCAAUACCGCGUGUGUGAAGAAGGCCUGCGGGUUGUAAAGCACUUUCAAUUGUGAGGAAAAGCUUUUGGUUAAUAGCCUUGAGUCUUGACGUUAGCAAUACAAGAAGCACCGGCUAACUCCGUGCCAGCAGCCGCGGUAAU
rnacentral:rRNA from 1 species